ACCGGUUCAACCGCCAUUUUCAAGGAAUGCCGGGCCGGUUACUAUGUUAGCUAGGGCAAGCAAUAAACCCGCCACGACUCGCCUAAACCCGCGGGGUUACGCUCGUCAGCUCGUGCACGAACAAAGUUGCUCCCUCUGAAGUCUGAAGUGAAGUUCUCACGAAGACUCACCUCGCGAUGGGUCGAUCUCUCUCUCUAUGAUGACCUAGAAUUUGGGGACAAGAUCAAAAAUCAAAACUUCAAUUCCAGGCUUCCAGGGAUUAAUGUUCAUUACUUUAUUUUAAAAUGUCAUCUACACCAUCAUCAGGACCAUCAACUACAGGAUCCACAUCUAACCCUACUUCAACUUCAUCGUGCCUGUACAAAGUUCAGUUAGAGGAAAAAA